rfam:Gossypium hirsutum cultivar TM-1 chromosome 7, whole genome shotgun sequence
CACGUCAGCGCGACCUGCUGAGAAGGAAAUCGCUUCCUCAAGGACGCGAUUUCCUUCCACGUCAGCAAGUCGCGCUGACGUGG